UACAGAGGUCCCAAGCGUUGUUCGGAUUCACUGGGCGUAAAGGGUGCGUAGGCGGUGAGGUAAGUCUGACGUGAAAUCUCCGGGCCUAACCCGGAAACUGCGUUGGAUACUAUCUCACUAGAGGAAUGGAGGGGAGACUGGAAUACUUGGUGUAGCAGUGAAAUGCGUAGAUAUCUAGAGGAACACCUGAGGUGAAGACGGGUUGCUGGGCCGACACUGACGCUGAGUGCGCGAAAGCCAGGGGAGCAAACGGG
rnacentral:rRNA from 1 species